rnacentral:lncRNA from 1 species
UCGCCCCGUUCCCCCCUCUCCGUCGCUCGUCCUCUUCUGUGCAACGCGCGCAGCCGCAGCCGUUGCCACGGCCUUGCCGUCCGCGUGGCCAACGUCGUCCCCGCGCUAAAUUAGCUUGUUCCCCGGCUCCCCCUUCGUCGUCUACAUCACCUGCGAGGACCAGCUCGAGCCCCCUCGCGCUGCAUCGCCUGGAUCGAGUCAUCUUCUACCUCCGGUCGCCACUCAUCGCUGCUUCGAUUUGUCGCCUCCAAGCCUUCCCCGAGCUUGCUUUGCACCUCUACAGGUUCGCGGUGAGCUCCUCGGCCAAUUCCCCUCGUUCCCAUCUUCGAUCCACUCCGUUAGGCUCCGUCCCGUGUUCGUCUGUGGCCGCCAUGGCCGGAGGCUGAGCUCUUGCGUACGUGUUCCGCUGCUCAUGCUGCUCCUAGUUGCUGUUGCGUGCUACUGCUAACUGCUACUAAUGCUGUUGCUAGCUGCAUCUUCCUUGCCCUGCCCGCUCCCUGCUCUUCGCUGCUUCUGCCGCCGCCGCAGCACUUGCCCCGCCACCUUAGCCGCCUGUCCGCGUUGCCGGCGCCUAACCGCGUCCGCCGCCGCUCCGACUGCGCCCAGGCCGGGCCCCGUCCCGCGCGUGGCCUCGCCUUCCCGCCGGCUGCUCCUGUUGUUGGCCAUGGCCGAGCGGCCAUGCGCGCAUGUGUGAGUGCGUUCUGUGUGGUGUGCGUGCGUGUGUGUUCUGGGUAUGAGGCCUAUCCAGAUUAGUUAGUACUACUAAUUAGAUUAGUUUAGGGCUGCUACUUUAUAUGUUAAUUAAAUAGCCUAUGGUUUUGUGACAGGUAGUCCCUCACACUAAAUAACCCAUUAGUUAAAAGGCCAGUCAAUGACAUCUAGGACCAACUGUUAGAUUAAUAUGCUUAAAUUAGAUUAAAAGAUCUAAGUCAAUGACACGCGGGACCCGCUUACACUAUUCAUAUGUUGACCAGUCAACCUUUGACUGGGUCAACCCAGCUCACUGGUCCCACCUGCAAGCCACUGUGGCUAGCCAUAGUUGGGUACACAUAGCAGUUUUGCUAUUGUUUUUGAAUUAUUAAUGAACUCGAGAAAAGCUUUAAAACUUUGAAAAAUCAUAGAAAAUAACCCGUAACUCGGAUGAAAAUACUUUGUACAUGAAAGUUGCUCAGAACGACGAGACGAAUCCGGAUACACAUCCCGUUUGUCCGCCACACAUACCUAGCAUAGCAAACACGCAACUUUUCCCCUCCGGUUCAUCUGUCCGAAAACGCGAAACACCGGGGAUACUUUCCCGGAAGUUCCCCCCCUUCGCCGGUAUCACCUAUCCAUGUGUUAGGCCACCCCUAGCACAACGUAUUGCCGCGUCUUGCUUUGUGUUACAUUUGAUUGCUCUGUUAUUUAUUGUGUUCCCCCUCCGUUACUUCUUUCCGGUAGGCUCUGAGACCGUUGCCGAUACCCCUGUGAUCGACUACAUUGACGACGACCCCUUCUUCUUGCCAGAGCAACCAGGCAAGCCCCCCCUUGAUCACCAGAUAUCGCCUAUUCCUUCCCUAUACUGCUUGCAUUAGAGUAGUGUAGCAUGUUACUGUUUUCGGUUAAUCCUAUACUGAUGCAUAGCCUGUCAUUGUUGCUACAGUUGUUACCCUUACCUGCUAUCCUACUGCUUAGUAUAGGAUGCUAGUGUUCCAUCAGUGGCCCUACACUCUUGUCCGUCUGCCAUGCUAUACUACUGGGCCGUGAUCACUUCGGGAGGUGAUCACGGGUAUAUACUAUAUACUUUAUAUACAUGACACAUGUGGUGACUAAAGUCGGGUCGGCUCGUUGAGUACCCGCAAGUGAUUCUGGUGACGGGGCUGAAAGGACAGGUGGCUCCAUUCCGGUAGAGGUGGGCCUGGGUUCCUGAUGGCCCCCGACUGUUACUUUAUGGCGGAGCGACAGGGCAGGUUGAGACCACCUAGGAGAGAGGUGGGCCUGGCCCUGGUCGGCGUUCGCGGAUACUUAACACGCUUAACGAGAUCUUGGUAUUUGAUCUGAGUCUAGCCAUUUGGUCUAUACGCACUAACCAACUAUGCGGGAAUAGUUAUGGGCACUCGACGUCGUGGUAUCAGCCGAAGCUCUUCUUGACGUCAGCGACGGAGCGGCGCGUGCCGGAUUGGACUGGAACGCCUGCUAGGCUAGGUCUGCUUCCGGCCGCGUACGCAACGUGCAGGUGUGCAAUGGGCAAUGGGCCCAGACCCCUGCGUGCAUAGGAAUUAGACCGGCGUGUUGACCUCUCUGUUGAGCCUAGGUGGGGCUGCGACGUGUUGAUCUUCCGCGGCCGGGCAUGACCCAGAAAAGUGUGUCCGGCCAAAUGGGAUUGAGCGUGUUGGGUUAUGUGGUGCACCCCUGCAGGGAAGUUUAUCUAUUCGAAUAGCCGUGUCCCUCGGUAAAAGGACGAUCCAGAGUUGUACCUUGACCUUAUGACAACUAGAACUGGAUACUUAAUAAAACACACCCUUCCAAGUGCCAGAUAUAACCCGGUGAUCGCUCUCUAACAGGGCGACGAGGAGGGGAUCGCCGGGUAGGAUUAUGCUAUGCGAUGCUACUUGGUGAACUUACCAUCUACUCUCUUCUACAUGCUGCAAGAUGGAGGUGGCCAGAAGCGUAGUCUUCGACAGGAUUAGCUAUCCCCCUCUUAUUCUGGCAUUCUGCAGUUCAGUCCACCGAUAUGACCCUUUACACAUAUACCCAUGCAUAUGUAGUGUAGCUCCUUGCUUGCGAGUACUUUGUAUGAGUACUCACGGUUGCUUUUCUCCCUCUUUUCCCCUUUCUAUACCUGGUUGUCGCAACCAGAUGCUGGAGUCUAGGAGCUAGAGACCCCGAGGAUGAUUCUACGUGGAGUUCGGCUUCGAGGAGUAGUUAGGAGGUCCCAGGCAGGAGGCCUUGCCUUUUCGAUUGUUGCUACUUUUGUGCUAGCCUUCUUAAGGCAAAUUUGUUUAACUGAUGUCUGUACUCAGAUAUUGUUGCUUCCGCUGACUCGUCUAUGAUCGAGCACUUGUAUUCGAGCCCUCGAGGCCCCUGGCUUGUAUUAUGAUGCUUGUAUGACUUAUUUAUGUUGUAGAGUUGUGUUGUGAUAUCUUCCCGUGA